UACUUUCCAGGUACUAUGGUUCAGUUCAGUAACAGGUUUGGAGGAGCAUUAAAGGAGGAUCUCAACGACAGGUGCAAUGGAGCCCUCUAUGAAAGUGCCAGAAAUACCCAAGAGAAUGAGCAGACACACAGCCCCGGGCAGGACGAAAACAAUGCUGAAGUUGAUAACUCUGUGGAGAGGAUCCCUGAAGAUCUGGCUGGGAGAGUGUGCUAUGAGCUAGAACCACUAGUUUUCCCUUGAUAACUAAAUGCAUCAAGUAAUGAAGAAUGUUGUGCAAUUUCACAAAACGUGAAAAGUUUGGGUGGUUAAGUCUGCUGCAUCUUUAACGACAGCCAACAAUGGUGUCACAGUGUAUCGGUGACUAGCUGAUGAUCUGUUGCUCUUUCAGGAAGACCAGGUUUAAGUGUGUUUUUACACAACAUUUUAUUUUUUUAAUCUACACACUUCCUCAAAUAUAUGCUGCAUUCUUUGCUUUAUUCCUGUUGUGGCUUACAUUUGACAGAGAGAUUCUAUUGAUCAGAAAGCUUAGAUCGACUGACCUGCAGGAGUAGGCUGAUUACAUUGUCUUUGCAUUCUAUGGUAAUUAGCUUUAUUUGGUGUAUGUGAAUGCAGACCAAUACAUAUAUAUUUCUUACCACGCUUACACCUUUUUGGUUGGCAGAGUUUUUGAUGAUUUGACCCUGCUGGGGGAAAAUGUGCCCAAUUGUUACCAAACACUGCCAAGAUAUGUGAACUAUCAAAUACAUGAAUAUGUUUUAUCAAUCAUCAUCAGUAAUUGUUAUAACAAAUUAUUCAGCAUAACCUGUACAAUAAAAGAGGAACUGAAUGUA